rnacentral:rRNA from 1 species
UGGGGAAUAUUGCACAAUGGAGGGAACUCUGAUGCAGCGACGCCGCGUGAACGAAGAAGGCUUUCGAGUCGUAAAGUUCUUUUAUAUGGGAAGAUAAUGACGGUACCAUAAGAAAAAGCCCCGGCGAACUACGUGCCAGCAGCCGCGGUAAUACGUAGGGGGCUAGCGUUGUCCGGAAUCACUGGGCGUAAAGGGUUCGCAGGCGGAAAUGCAAGUCAGGUGUAAAAGGCAGUAGCUUAACUACUGUAAGCAUUUGAAACUGCAUAUCUUGAGAAGAGUAGAGGUAAGUGGAAUUUUUAGUGUAGCGGUGAAAUGCGUAGAUAUUAAAAAGAAUACCGGUGGCGAAGGCGACUUACUGGGCUCAUUCUGACGCUGAGGAACGAAAGCGUGGGUAGCAAACAGG